rnacentral:misc_RNA from 1 species
GCAAACUCUAAUAGCAACCGAUCUUACUGUGUUUGGGAAAGCUUUUUACCCCUUUGUUGGGGAGUUUGGGGGGGAGCGGGUGUUUGUUCAUCGACUCAUCUCGAAAACAAAGGGAAAGAGAAAUAUCAAAUAAAAGGCCUUUUUUUAAUUAUUAUAUUUAGAUUAAACAAGGUACAAACGAACAUCAGAAGCCAAAAUCAUUCUAAUAAGGAUGCAAUAAAUCAUUUCAUAAAGAUACAACUGCCACAUCAAUUGCAAAGUAUAGAAGAAAGCAAACUUGGAUGAGUAUUAUAACUAAAACCAGAAGAGGUAGCCUCAUGUGAAUGUCAUCAGAGAUAAGUUUACCCAAUAUAAGAACCACAGACAACCUACCAAAACUGAACUUGGAUUUUGCUCAUUGUGAACAGUUAAAAACAAAGAUCAGGAAAAAUUAAGGCAAGGCUCUUACAAAAUCAAUUAUGCCAGAAAAGCCUGGCUAACAAUCCAAGGGAAUAAGUUACCAGAGACCAGCAUCUGUAAGCAAAAGAUGACACAGUAAGCUACAUCCUUACUGUCACCUGUUCUGCUGAACUUUUCUUCACAACUCCUCUUAAGCACAGCUCAUUCAAUAACUCCAAAGCCUCCUUGGCUAAACCUUCAUAAGCUAUGCCUUCAAUGAGUAUGGUGUAAGAAACUUCAGUGGGUUUACAUCCCCUUGAUACCAUAUAAGCCAAGAAGUCAAUUGCACAGUAAGUUUGUCGAGCCUUACAAAGUCCCAACAUGAUAGCAUUGUAGGUUAUAGCAUUGGGUUUAACCCCCAAACCUUCCAAAUCGUGAAAGAAUUUAAUUGCUUCAUCAACCUUACCUUCUCUGCUUAGCCCACCAAUAAGUGAAGAGUAGGUGAUUAUAUCAGGCUUAAGACCCUUUGCUCGCAUCUCCCUCAAAAGUUCCACAGCUUGAUCUGUUUUCCCCACCUUGGAAAGCCCAUCAAUCACAGUGUUGUAAGUGAUCAAAACUGGUGAACAUCCUUUGCUACUUAGCUGAUUAAGUAUCUCAACUGCAGCAUCAACCUUUCCAUCUUUGCAUAGGGCUGUGAGCAAAGUGUUGUAGGUCACAAUAUCUGGAUAACAACCUCUAGAGACCAUUUUCUCCAGAUACUCAAUUGCCCUUUCCAUCUUCUUUUCUUUACAGAAACCAUGUAGCAAUGGGUUGUAACUUAGAGAAUUUGGAGUGCAUCCAUGCCUAUGCAUCUUCUCCAAUAUGUCAAUUGCUCGACCUAACAAGCCCUUACGGCACAAGAAAUUAAUCAAUAUAUUGAAAGUAACAACACUAGGAGAACAACCUUUCCGAACCAUUUCAGCCAGUAGCUUCUCCGCAUCAAUCCACCUCCCAGUGCCACACAUGCUACGCAAAAUAAUAUUAUGAGUAAUCACAUUAGGUUGGCAUCCAUAUGAUGGCAUGUUGUUUAAGAACUUGAUCGCUUCAUCCAAUCUCCCUUCCUUGCAUAUUCCAUUGACAAGAACAUUGUAAGUAACCACAUCUGGAUUGCAUCCCCUACUCCGCAUCUCAUCUAAGAGCUUCAUGGCUUGUCCAACCCCACCUUCUCUGCAAGUUGCCUCAAUUAAUAUGGUAUAUGUGAUCACAUCUGGAUAACACUCCUUUUCCAAUUGCCGAUGGAGAACUUCCAUUGCUUGCUUCAAUUUCCCACUAUCACAUAAAGCACGGAGAAUUGUAUUAUAUGUAACAACAUCAGGGGCAACACUCAUUCGGUCCAGAACCCUUAAGGCAUUAUCAAUCUCCCCUGCCUUACAAUACCCACUAGUCAAUACAUUAUAAGUGAUUACAUCAGGAACCGCCCCAGAAUCCUCUACUAUCUCCAUAACCCGAGUUGCCUUCCUAGUUUUUCCAAUCUUGCAAAAACCACGAAUUAAACUUGUACAGGGGAUUAUAUCAGGAAUAUCCCCUCGAUAGACCAUGCUCUCGAGAAACCUAUAACCUUCUUCUAAUUCCCCAUUCCUAAUCAAUUUACGAAGAUGAUUAUUGCUCUCAUCUUCCUCCAAAUUCGGCAAAGAAUGCAAUGGAUUUGAAGGAACGCGUCCAUUUCCCAAUUGCCCAUUUGGCGACUUAUCAAAACUUUUAACUUUACCAUUGGAACGAAAAGCUGCAACCCCAGAAACUGCAAAAACCCGACCCGGUUUCAACUUUCUAUUUCCUAGAAAGACUUUCAUGCCUGAAUCAGCUUUAGCCCUAACCCUAACUCCAGCAAAACCACUGCUGCUUCUAAUAUUUUCUCUAUGGAAGUGUUGAAAUGUGCAAAACCCUUCAUGGGCAUGAUGUGUAUGUACUAUCAAAUCCAUACCUCAAGCUACUUAUAUUUAAAAAUCAAACAUUCAUGCCUGGCACAAAAUUACUUCAGGAAAUCCAGGUACUAAGGACUUCACAGGUUCGUUUCGCGUUAAGUAGACGAAUAGACAAGUUAAGUGGGAUUUUGGAGAGUGAAAAUCAACUCAUAGAAAGAGAAAGAGUGGAUAGACGAAGCUUACCAUAAAGAAUGCUCCAUAAGAAGAGAGGAGCCAGAACGAUUUGCGUGUUCGGUGUUUGCUUAUCCAGUUUGUGUCGUCUUCUGGAUUCUGCAGGGUUACGUUAAGAUAUUGAUUUCUUGUUCCGCAGAGGCGUGCGGUGACACGAAUGAUGGCAAUGGGUAUAGGUGGGAUUUUAUGGAGGGCAAAUUAGG